rnacentral:lncRNA from 1 species
GGGUGUGACCUGUGAGGCGGCAGCAGCCUGCCCGACCUCACAGCAGAUCCUGAUGAGAGGGGCCCCGGUGCGGCUCCUGCUGGGUCAUGCGGAGAGGUCAGCCGGCCUCGGCUCGCGGUCGUGAAGUCAGGCGUGAUGGGAGCUCGGGCCGCCGCGCUGACACUGUGACUGCCCCCAGCGCAUUUUGGGGAUGACCUCAUGGAUGGUAAAAGCGCCCAGCAGAUUAUAAGGGCCAACAAAUGGGGCCUUUACUACUUGGGAGGGAAAAGGAGCGUACAGCCAGAUGGGCCUAGAGUUGAAUUGCAGGUCGCUGCCCUCCCGCCUCUGGGCCUCAGUUUCCUCCUCCAUAGCAGAGCUUUGACCCUCCAGCUCGCUGAGAUGGCACGUCCAUCCCUAAGCCCUGAACUGAGCAGCAGUGACAGGGAGGCACUGUUCACCAGGCACCCACCGUGCACCGGCCCAGCAUUACUGAGCACCUACUGUGCACCCGCCCAGCAUUUACUGAGCACCUACUGCAUACCGACCCUGCAUUACUGAGUACCUACUGCACACCAGCCCAGCAUUACUGAGUGCCUACUGCACACCAGCCCAGCAUUACUGAGUACCUACUGCACACCAGCCCCACAUUUACUGAGCACCUAUUGCAUCCUGGCCCCGCAUUUACUGAGCACCCACUGCACACAACCCCAGCAUUACUGAGCACCUACUGUGCACUAGUCCUGCAUUACUGAGCACCUGCUGCACACCAACCUGCCCCGGCCCCACAUUUACUGAGCACCUAUUGCAUGCUGGCCCAGCAUUUACUGAGCACCCACUGUACACAGACCCAGCAUUACUGAGCACCCACUGCACACUGGCCCCACAUUUACUGAGCACCUAUUGCAUUCUGGCCCAGCAUCACUGAGCACCUACUGUGUACCAGCCCUGCAUUACUGAGCACCUGCUGCACUCCAACCCUGCAUUUACUGAGCACCUACUGCAUGCUGGCUUAGCACUUCCCCGGCACCUACCACAGGUGGCCCACAGAAAGGUGAAGUCGUGUGCCCAGGUCAUGCCGGAGGGAAGGCUGCCCUCCUCACCAUGAAGCUGAGCUCCCAGAAGGGAAAAGCGUAAGCCCUGAGGUUGGCCACUUCCUCUCUGGGACCCUUGGCCAUACCAUGGGGCUGCCCUGAGCCUCAGUUUCCCUAUAUGUCCCAGAGGAAGUAACAGGCCACUAGCAUGAGGCCUGGCCGGGAACUGAUGGGGGGAGUGAGGCCAGGGGGUUAAGCAGCCCACCCAGGGUCCUGCAGCGGCCCCCACGCUGGCCACGGUGCUCCCUGGCCACUCCCUGG